CAGCACCUCAAGUGGUCAGGAGGGUUAUUGGGCCUAAAGCAUCCGUAGCCGGCUGCACAAGUCUUCGGUUAAAUUCAUAUGUUCAACAUAUGGGCUGCCGGAGAUACUGUGCAGCUAGGGAGUGGGAGAGGUGGACGGUACUCGAUAGGAAGGGGUAAAAUCCUUUGAUCUAUUGAUGACCACCUGUGGCGAAGGCGGUCCACUAGAACACGUCCGACGGUGAGGGAUGAAAGCUGGGGGAGCAAACCGGGAUUAGAUACCCGGGUAGUCCCAGCUGUAAACUAUGCAAACUCAGUGAUGCAUUGGCUUGUGGCCAGUGCAGUGCCGCAGGGGAAGCCCGUUAAGUUUGCCGCCUGGGAAGUACGUACGCAAGUAUG
rnacentral:rRNA from 1 species